rnacentral:rRNA from 1 species
CAACCUUCCGUUUACUCAGGGAUAGCCUUUCGAAAGAAAGAUUAAUACCUGAUAGUAUGGUGAGAUUGCAUGAUGGCACCAUUAAAGAUUUAUUGGUAAACGAUGGGGAUGCGUUCCAUUAGGUAGUAGGCGGGGUAACGGCCCACCUAGCCGACGAUGGAUAGGGGUACUGAGAGGAAGGUCCCCCACAUUGGAACUGAGACACGGUCCAAACUCCUACGGGAGGCAGCAGUGAGGAAUAUUGGUCAAUGGACGAGAGUCUGAACCAGCCAAGUAGCGUGAAGGAUGACUGCCCUAUGGGUUGUAAACUUCUUUUAUAUGGGAAUAAAGUAUUCCACGUGUGGGAUUUUGUAUGUACCAUAUGAAUAAGGGUCGGCUAACUCCGUGCCAGCAGCCGCGGUAAUACGGAGGAUCCGAGCGUUAUCCGGAUUUAUUGGGUUUAAAGGGAGCGUAGAUGGAUGUUUAAGUCAGUUGUGAAAGUUUGCGGCUCAACCGUAAAAUUGCAGUUGAUACUGGAUAUCUUGAGUGCAGUUGAGGCAGGCGGAAUUCGUGGUGUAGCGGUGAAAUGCUUAGAUAUCACGAAGAACUCCGAUUG